GACGUAGGGCGCGAGCGUUGUCCGGAUUUAUUGGGCGUAAAGAGCGCGCAGGCGGUCCGAUAAGUCGAAUGUGAAAGCCCCCGGCUCAACUGGGGAGGGUCAUUCGAUACUGUUCGACUCGAAGGCAGGAGAGGGAAGUGGAAUUCCCGGUGUAGUGGUGAAAUGCGUAGAUAUCGGAAGGAACAUCAGUGGCGAAAGCGGCUUCCUGGACCAGUACCGACGUUCAGGCAUGAAAGCGUGGGGAGCAAACAGG
rnacentral:rRNA from 1 species